UUAUAUGACAAAUCUUCUUCUUUCCCUAGAACUCUUCCCUACGCAAGUCAUCUUUGUUUUCCCAUUCCCAAUCCGCAGGCUAACCUACACAAGCCAUCUUUAUUUUCCUAUUUGACUUUGAAGACCUUUGCUUUAUUCCUCUAAUCUUUGUUUUCCUAUUUGACUUUGCAAAUCUUUACUUUAUUCCUCUAAGCUAAGGAUGAGGAGCAAAAGAAGAAGAUUAAUGCCGAAGAAUAACGUACUUAUUGCCCAGAAGACUUAAUGGGAGACACAGGACAAGCAUCUGAAAUUCCAUUUAAACACGGUACCAAAGAUUGUGUUUUACACUGGGGACUGAGGCUUGCCGCUCUUGAUGGGAACACAAGGCGGAGUUAAUUGGCAGCGUCUACCAAAGCUUCUAUAGGUGAAAGAAAAUUUGCAAGUAUCUUGGUCAAUGGUGUUUUGUUGGAUGGAAUUGGGUGAUUGGCUGUCAUACAGGGCAAAAGGAGAUGAUACUUUUAGUCUGUGCACCAUGGUGUGCAAAUGGACAUAUCUUGGUCAGGGAUAUAUGCAGAAAGUUAAUGAAAAAGAUUCCUGAGAUAUGGAAGCUUGUGGAUGGGAUGAUGGCUUCUGGGAGUAGAUUGGAUUAGGCGAUCUUUUAGAUGGGCAUCAUGCUAAGAUAGUUUGUGACUUGGUAAUGAAUAAUGUCAACAGGACUGUGGAGCUUUUCCUGACCAUCUUUUGGGUUCUGGUCUUACUCCAGCUGCCGUGAAGGCAAGAAAUUUCGUACUGAAGAUUUCACAUUGAUUUACAGUGGCAUGACUUGAGGUCCAUUAGCAAAAAAACAUAUUUAUUUAGUUGCAAGAAAAUAUGAGUCACACUAUUUUCCUGGCCUUUGGAACUGGGUCUUGUAGCAGGAAUUCAUUUUGAAACUUCACUGAUUGAUGCUCAUGCUGGUGGCGUGGGGGUAAUGGAAAGUGUGCCACAUUUGGAUUCUGAAGCUAAAGAGUGUGAUAUGGAAGCUAUAUGCCACCACAUGGUGUUAGUCUGUGGAACUUCUACCUGCCAUAUGGCCAUAUCAAGGAGCAAGUUAUUCAUUCCAGGGGUCAGGGGACCGUUCUGGUCUGGUUGCCUUAUAAUUGUUCCAUGAGGGAACAAGUCUGUGCUUUUGGGUGCUGCUAUUCUCGGAUCUCAAUGCAGUUUUUGUAAGGUAGUUUUAAAGUCUGAAUGAGGUCAUGAGGGCCAUGAAUGUAGCUGGUCAGGUAUACAAAAUGGUUCUUUUUCUAUCAUUUUUAUUCUUUAAUUCAAUCCUAUUUCUUUAAAUUCAAGAUGAGGUGAGAAAGGUGUUCAAACUCGGCAAGGGACUUGAAUGUAAUUCUAGAGUAAAACCUUCCUCAUGGUAUGCUAUUCCAUAUAGAUGGAAUCUUCAUUGUGUUUGGUCUUGAUUUGGAAGCAGGACCUCAAAAGGUUUUGAUAUGUUAAACUUGCACAAAUAGCAUGGUAUCAUUUCAGAUAUUAGAGCUCGUUUGAUAACGUUGUUCUAGUAAAA